rnacentral:lncRNA from 1 species
CUUAGGGUUAGGAGAUGAGAUGAUAGCAACAUCUUCAGCAGCAUCAUAAUCUGAGUUACUGGAUGACUCCAUCUUCCUCUUCAGGGUCUCCUUUUUCUUGCUUUUUCCUCCAAGGCUCUCCACUUGUAUUGGCCCCAUAAGGUCUAUGUGCAGCAAUUCUAGCACCCUUGUUGUGGUAAGAUGUUGCAACUUUGGAUGUGACAUCUUUAUCUGCUUCCCUAUUUGGCAUUCUCCACAUAUGCUUCCUUCCUCUAUUUUGAGCUUAGGAAGACCUCUGAUUGUCUCUUUAGCUAUUGCCUUUUUCAUGCCCUUAAGGUGCAGGUGGCCAAGUUUUUGGUACCACAACUUUACCUCAUCUUCUUUGCUAAUAAAACAUGUGGAUAAAUUGUCUUCUUCUUUAGGGAUCCAAAGAUAACAGUUGUCUCUUGA